rnacentral:rRNA from 1 species
CCGCCGGCGACCGGCGCACGGGUGAGUAACACGUAUGCAACCUGCCCCUGUCAGGGGGACAACCCGCCGAAAGGCGGGCUAAACCCGCGUACAUGCCACCGGGGCAUCCCGGAGGCAGGAAAGGCUUCGGCCGGACAGGGAUGGGCAUGCAGCGCAUUAGGCAGUAGGCGGGGUAACGGCCCACCUAACCGACGAUGCGUAGGGGUUCUGAGAGGAAGGUCCCCCACACUGGUACUGAGACACGGACCAGACUCCUACGGAAGGCAGCAG